AUGUUUUCUCUAGUUCAUGUUGGCCACAAUUAUUGGCACCCAAUUAUGGCAACGUCCUUUUCCCAAGAUAACAGCUCUGAGUUUUCUCCUAUAAUGCCUGAAGAGUUUGGAGAUCAGAGACCAUUCCUUCAUACAGAAUCUCUCCAGAUCCUUCAGAUUCACAGCUACAUGUUGGUGCUUCUUCUCUUCAGUUCCACCCACUCAUUUUCUAUAGGGUUCAGCUCAGAGGACUGGGAUAGCCAUGGCAGAAGCUUGGUUUUGUGCCCAGUGAACCCUUUUUUUUUUGUGCCGGAUUUGAGGUUUGUUUUUGGAUUAUUGUCCUGUCGGAAGAUCCAAACAAGGUUUAGUAUUUGUUUAUUCUUUGUUAUUUUGUUAUAUAUAUAUAUAUAUAUAUAUAUAAUAUGUAUGUAUGUAUAUGUAUAUGCUCUUAGAGCUAUUUUGUGACAGCAUAUCUAAUGGAAAAUAAACAUUACAUAAUUGGAACAUAAUUUGUGUGAUACAGUGAUACAGAGACCACAAGACUCAUCAGCCAAACAACUAGUUCAGACACCAGAUUCUGUUCAGGAACGACACUACAAGCAAGUGUAAGGAAAUAAAUAGAUGGCUCAUCAGCUUUGCAUGAGCGCUGUAAUCCAUCAUGAGCUGCGAGUGAGGUGUCAGAUGCACCGCUGUAACAACCCCAUUAAGACUGCACACGAGCUGACAUCUCCAUAUGCUCUACAACACGCAUGUGACAUCAGAGCCCAUUACCCACAAACCUCUUCAUCCACAACGUGCCUGGAAGUACUAAACAAACGCUCUAUACAAGGGGUCAUGACAGCAUUGUGGCCUGAUCUGCACACACACACAAACACACACACACACACACACACACACACACACACACACACACACACACACACACACUGUAUUGUCUUCACCACACACACAACAACACACACACACACACACACACACACACACACACACACACACACACACACACACUGAUUUGCUUUCACAGUGACUUACUGUAGUAAUUGCAAAUCAAUUUGCUGUUUCGUUGUUUGUAAAACUGUUAAAUCAGUUUGAAGCUGUGUUUGAAGGUGUGUUUUUGUAGCUUCUUACAAGAAACUGCUUUUUGGAUUGUCAUCAGGACUAUAGCAGAUCAAGGGUGGACAUUAUGAUGUUUUUUAGGUAGAACUUUGCCUUUUUAUUAUAUUAGUUUAGCUUUUUUGAGUCUUUUGUUUUGAGCCUAAGUGUUACAUAAUGUGAAGCUCUUUUUGCUUCACAUUACGUAACAGUAAAAAAAGAGAAGAGAAAAACUCAAAUGAGAUGGGCUUCAGUGUGACAUGAUCCUUCAGAAAUCAUUCGAAUAUGCUGAUUUGCUGCUCAACCAACAUUUCUGAUUAUUAUCAAUGUUGAAAACAGUUGUGCUGCUUCAUAUUUUUAGGGAAACUGUAAUACAUCUUGUUUUUUAAGAUUCUUUGAUGAGCAGAAAAGUCCAAAAGAACAGCAUUUAUUUGAAAUAGAAUCUUUUGUAACGUUAUAACAUUAUUUUUACUGUCACUUUUGAUCACUUGAAUGCAUCACAUGUUGUUUAAUAUGUCUUUUGAUUCAUUAAAUAUCAACAAAAGUCUUAUCAGAUUCUGAUUCGCUCAUUUUAGAGGUGCUUCUUCUCCUAAACAUCUUGUCUAUCUCAAAUUUAAUUACACCUUCUUUAUAAUUAAUAUAUUUGGCUGAACAGGCUGCACAAGGUUCCUGGCAGAAGCCUUGGGUCUCAGGUGAGCGGUGCUGCUCUGGUGUGAUGUAUUGUUAGUCUGUGUGUACUGUACAGGGUGUUGAAUUUCACUCUCAGCCUGAUAGCACUCUUUAACCGAACCUCUAAUGAUUCCUUAAUGAGGCUCAGUCUGUGUUUCAGUCCUACUUUUAUGCUGGCUUAAACGCUGCUUAUUAAUAUCUACGUACGGGGAAUGGCUGCUGAAAUCGCCCGACACCAGGAUCUAUU
rnacentral:lncRNA from 1 species